rnacentral:rRNA from 1 species
UGCAAGUCGAACGGCAGCACGGAGCUUGCUCUGGUGGCGAGUGGCGAACGGGUGAGUAAUAUAUCGGAACGUACCCUAGAGUGGGGGAUAACGUAGCGAAAGUUACGCUAAUACCGCAUACGAUCUAAGGAUGAAAGUGGGGGAUCGCAAGACCUCAUGCUCGUGGAGCGGCCGAUAUCUGAUUAGCUAGUUGGUAGGGUAAAAGCCUACCAAGGCAUCGAUCAGUAGCUGGUCUGAGAGGACGACCAGCCACACUGGAACUGAGACACGGUCCAGACUCCUACGGGAGGCAGCAGUGGGGAAUUUUGGACAAUGGGCGAAAGCCUGAUCCAGCAAUGCCGCGUGAGUGAAGAAGGCCUUCGGGUUGUAAAGCUCUUUUGUCAGGGAAGAAACGGUGAAAGCUAAUAUCUUUUGCUAAUGACGGUACCUGAAGAAUAAGCACCGGCUAACUACGUGCCAGCAGCCGCGGUAAUACGUAGGGUGCAAGCGUUAAUCGGAAUUACUGGGCGUAAAGCGUGCGCAGGCGGUUUU